UGCCCCGUGGCUGAGUUGGUCACAGCGUCCGACUGUUAACGCAAACAGCACGAUAAAUCGGAAGGUCGUGAGUUCGAGCCUCACCGGGGCAG